rnacentral:lncRNA from 1 species
ACCAAGUGACUUAGACUUUAUUAUUACUGUGUGUUAAAGCAUGUUUACACAUCUAUCUCCCCUAUAAAUCAAUGAGCUCCUCUGGGAUAUUCGUGUCUUAUUUGUCAGCAUAUACAGGACAGAGGACAGAACACUCAUUAAAUAUAAGUUUGUUGAACCAAAUACCCAAGAUUGUGACUGUCUUCUCUGUCCCAACUUCUGUCCCCAGACCUGAGACUGGGGUUAUUCUGGGCCCUUUUGAGAGUCCCUGAGGCCAAGAGUAAGGCUGUGAGCACGCUGGAGCCCCACAGGGAAGCCCAGCCCAGGACGAGUUCUGUGCUCUGAGCUCGUCUGGAUUCUGAGAAAAGCAGCAGCAGCCACAGUCUGGAGAGUCCCCGCUCAGGCCAAAUGGUGUUCCUCAGAGAAGCCCCUGCUCACUGAGGUGGGCAGCGUGGAGUCAUAGCAUCCCAGAGCCGGAAGGACUUCAUUCAUGGUUCUUCCACAGCCCUUCCCCCCACCUGUCAGGGAGAAGAAGGCGGACAAACAGAGGCAAGGAGAGGGGUAGAAGGCCUCCAGGCCUCCAGAGCCCUCCAGUGAGUGAGUGACAGCUUGAGUCCUGCCCAGCACAGAGCCUGGGACUGCCUUCCUUUGGGUCAAGGUUGGACCUGCCUUCCCUGUCCCUCAGUGUUUGCCAGCAGCCUGAGCUGCUGUCCCCCCCCUCCCCCCAUUCCUCAGAGCCCCUUCCUUGUUUCUCUGGGCAUGUAUAGGGUCUGUGUGUGUGUGUGUGUGUGUGUGUGUGUGUGUGUGUGUCUAGACCCAGUUAGUGUGAGACCAGAAGCAGAAAGGAGGAGGCUCUUAUCAUUGCAUUUCCCACGUGGCUAAUUCCCCUGGGGCAGAGGGGUGGGGAGAGGAGAGCCAGAGAGCCACAGGCUGGACAGGGCCUGCUGCAGCACACAGCAGCAAGUCCUGAGACCAAAGCACUGCCAUGGGUGUCAUUAGGAAAGAAUGCGGAGGCCACAGCAGCAGGGGGAACCUCUGGACCGGGGAGGGCAGGCCUCCUCAAUGACAAGCAGGCAGGCCCUGCAGAGGGAAACCAGCCCUCUGCAGUCUGUGUUGUAGAGGGCUCAGAGGGAGGGGGCUCUGUUCUGCCACAGAAGUGCAGCCUCACCAGGGACCAGGAAUCCCUGAACCAGAGCCCCACCCUGGGCUUCCUCAGAUCCUCCAGAGAAAGGCCUCACCCCUGGAGACUGUUGUCAUGGCAGCAGCUGCCAGGGGCUGACUGCCUCCCCCCUUGCCUGUGCCUGCUUGGCUGCCCUGCCUGCCUCCUGAUACCUUCAGCUCCUGCUACCUGCAAAGGCCUGUGCUGCCCACCGGGCUGCGGCUGCGGUAAAUGCAGCUGGAGCCCACUUCUCUGUGAGCAGCUUUCACCAAGGGAAGACCCCUGCAACCUUAUGAAAAGCUCUGGAAGUACCAGGUCUGGGGGAAUUACUCAUUCUAGGAGAAUGGCAUAG